AUCAAGGCAGUGGAAACUGUUGGGCUUGAGUGUGGUAGGGGCAGAGGGAAUUCCCGGUGUAGCGGUGAAAUGCGUAGAUAUCGGGAAGAACACCAGUGGCGAAGGCGCUCUGCUGGGCCAUAACUGACGCUCAUGGACGAAAGCCAGGGGAGCGAAAGGGAUUAGAUACCCCUGUAGUCCUGGCCGUAAACGAUGAACACUAGGUGUCGGGGGAAUCGACCCCUUCGGUGUCGUAGCUAACGCGUUAAGUGUUCCGCCUGGGGAGUACGCACGCAAGUGUGAAACUCAAAGGAAUUGACGGGGGCCCGCACAAGCGGUGGAGUAUGUGGUUUAAUUCGAUGCAACGCGAAGAACCUUACCAGGGUUUGACAUCCUGCGAACCUUUAAGAAAUUAGAGGGUGCCUUCGGGAACGCAGUGACAGGUGGUGCAUGGCUGUCGUCAGCUCGUGUCGUGAGAUGUUGGGUUAAGUCCCGCAACGAGCGCAACCCACGUUUUUAGUUGCCAGCAUUUAGUUGGGCACUCUAGAAAGACCGCCGGUGAUAAACCGGAGGAAGGUGUGGAUGACGUCAAGUCAUCAUGCCCCUUACAUCCUGGGCUACACACGUACUACAAUGCUACGGACAAAGGGCAGCAAACUCGCGAGAGCUAGCAAAUCCCAUAAACCGUGGCUCAGUUCAGAUCGUAGGCUGCAACUCGCCUACGUGAAGUAGGAAUCGCUAGUAAUCGCAGGUCAGCAUACUGCGGUGAAUACGUUCCCGGGCCUUGUACACACCGCCCGUCACACCAUGGAAGUUGGCCAUGCCCGAAGUCGUUACUUUAACCCUUGUGGAGAAGGACGCCGAAGGUGGGGCUGAUGACUGGGGUGAAGUCGUAACAAGGUAACCGUA
rnacentral:rRNA from 1 species